rnacentral:rRNA from 1 species
GAUGAACGCUGGCGGCGUGCCUAAUACAUGCAAGUCGAGCGAACAGAUGAGGAGCUUGCUCCUCUGACGUUAGCGGCGGACGGGUGAGUAACACGUGGAUAACCUACCUAUAAGACUGGGAUAACUUCGGGAAACCGGAGCUAAUACCGGAUAAUAUAUUGAACCGCAUGGUUCAAUAGUGAAAGACGGUUUUGCUGUCACUUAUUGAUGGAUCCGCGCCGCAUUAGCUAGUUGGUAAGGUAACGGCUUACCAAGGCAACGAUGCGUAGCCGACCUGAGAGGGUGAUCGGCCACACUGGAACUGAGACACGGUCCAGACUCCUACGGGAGGCAGCAGUAGGGAAUCUUCCGCAAUGGGCGAAAGCUUGACGGAGCAACGCCGCGUGAGUGAUGAAGGUCUUCGGAUCGUAAAACUCUGUUAUUAGGGAAGAACAAAUGUGUAAGUAACUAUGCACGUCUUGACGGUACCUAAUCAGAAAGCCACGGCUAACUACGUG